rnacentral:rRNA from 1 species
UACGUAGGUGGCAAGCGUUGUUCGGAAUUACUGGGCGUAAAGCGCGCGUAGGCGGCUCUUCAAGUCAGGCGUGAAAGCCCCGGGCUUAACUCGGGAACUGCGCUUGAUACUGUCGAGCUAGAGUGUGGAAGGGGCGAUUGGAAUUCCGUGUGUAGCGGUGAAAUGCGUAGAUAUACGGAGGAACACCAGAGGCGAAGGCGGAUCGCUGGGCCAACACUGACGCUGAUGUGCGAAAGCUAGGGGAGCAAACAGG